rnacentral:rRNA from 1 species
GACAGAGGUGCCGAGCGUUAGGCGGAAUCACUGGGCUUAAAGCGUGUGUAGGCGGGUCGUUAAGUAUCUUGUGAAAUCCCCCGGCUCAACCGGGGAACUGCUGGGUAUACUGGCGAUCUUGAGCAAUUCAGGGGCAGAUGGAACAAGUGGUGGAGCGGUGAAAUGCGUAGAUAUCACUUGGAACGCCAAAGGUGAAGACAGUCUGCUGGGAAUUCGCUGACGCUGAGACACGAAAGCCAGGGGAG